rnacentral:rRNA from 1 species
ACGAACGCUGGCGGCGUGCUUAACACAUUCAAGUCGAACGGAAAGGCCCUGCUUUUGUGGGGUGCUCGAGUGGCGAACGGGUGAGUAACACGUGAGUAACCUGCCCUUGACUUUUGGAUAACUUCAGGAAACUGGGGCUAAUACCGGAUAGGAGCUCCUGCUGCUUGGUGGGGGUUGGAAAGUUUCGGCGGUUGGGGAUGGACUCGCGGCUUAUCAGCUUGUUGGUGGGGUAGUGGCUUACCAAGGCUUUGACGGGUAGCCGGCCUGAGAGGGUGACCGGCCACAGUGGGACUGAGAUACGGCCCAGACUCCUACGGGAGGCAGCAGUGGGGAAUAUUGCACAAUGGGCGGAAGCCUGAUGCAGCAACGCCGCGUGCGGGAUGACGGCCUUCGGGUUGUAAACCGCUUUCGCCUGUGACGAAGCGUGAGUGACGGUAAUGGGUAAAGAAGCACCGGCUAACUACGUG